rnacentral:misc_RNA from 1 species
GAUGAGAACGUAGCGAAAUGCGAUAAGUAAUGUGAAUUGCAGAAUUCAGUGAAUCAUCGAAUCUUUGAACGCACAUUGCGCCCGCCAGUAUUCUGGCGGGCAUGCCUGUCCGAGCGUCAUUUCAACCCUCGAACCCCUCCGGGGGGUCGGCGUUGGGGAUCGGCACUUACCUGCCGGCCCCGAAAUACAGUGGCGGUCUCGCCGCAGCCUCUCCUGCGCAGUAGUUUGCACACUCGCACCGGGAGCGCGGCGCGUCCACGGCCGUAAAACAACCCAAACUUCUGAAAUGUUGACCUCGGAUCAGGUAGGAAUACCCGCUGAACUUAAGCAUAUCAAUAAGCGGAGGA